ensembl:snRNA Gm24754 predicted gene, 24754
GUGCUCACUUUGGCAGCACAUAUACUAAAAUUAGAAUCAUACAGAGAAGAUUAGCAUGGCCCCUAAGCAAGGAUGACACACAAAUUUGUGAAGCAUUCCAUAUUUUU